GAUUAUUGUUGUUCAUUUCAGUUUGUAUUUCUAUUUCCUAUCAUAUUUCAGUUCGUGUGUAUAACUUAUCAUGGCCGUAUUUCACUCCGUAUCAGUCUCGUUGUGAUAUAUUGCUUUAUUGCUAUUCAGUUUUAUCAUUGUAAGCAUUCUUGGCACCUACGGGGCUACAUGGAUCGAGCAUAUUAUGUGAGAAAUGUUGUAAGGAUCUCAACACUUGUAGGUUUCCCAAGUUACUGGUCAGUUCAUUGCAGGAGCCUCUAAGCAGAAUACAUUAACUGGUCAGCUCUUCAGCUUCAGCUCAUUGUCGGCUCUGUCUGGAGUAGAUUCCAGCUCAACCUCCAUCGCCUGGAAUCACAGAUGUCGUGGAAGAUGUUCUAGUUUUCUCCUUAUUGGAUAAUAUAAUCAAAUCAGCUUCAAAAUGGAAGUUGUGCCACCAUUUAU